rnacentral:rRNA from 1 species
UGCAAUGAGAGUUGUACUAAGGUAGCGCGAUAAUUUGUCUUUUUAUUGGGGAAUGGGAUGAAGGGUUUGACGAAGAGUGAUUGUCUCUGAAGAGAAAAGUGAAGUUUCCUUUUAAAUGAAAAGGUUUAAGUGAUAUUAAAAGACGAGAAGACCCUAUCGAGCUUGAUUAAACAAAGAAUUAAUUACCAAAAGAAAUAUUAUGUUAGUAGAUUGAGUAAAAUUCUAUUGUUAAAGUUUAGUUGGGGUAAGCUGGUUUAAAAACAAUUAAGCCAAAACGGGUGAAGAUCCUUUUUGAAAGAAAAUAGCAAAAGCUACCGUAGGGAUAACAGCGUAAUUUUUCUUGAGAGGCCUUAUUUAGGGAAAAGUUUGCGACCUCGAUGUUGGAUUAUA